CCGCACGUCUCCAUUCGGAGUCU
rnacentral:snRNA from 1 species